rnacentral:rRNA from 1 species
UACAGAGGGGGCAAGCGUUGUUCGGAAUUACUGGGCGUAAAGGGCGCGUAGGCGGCCAACUAAGUCAGACGUGAAAUCCCUCGGCUUAACCGGGGAACUGCAUCUGAUACUGGAUGGCUUGAGUUCGGGAGAGGGAUGCGGAAUUCCAGGUGUAGCGGUGAAAUGCGUAGAUAUCUGGAGGAACACCUGAGGUGAAGACGGGUUGCUGGGCUGACACUGACGCUGAGGCGCGAAAGCGUGGGGAGCAAACAGG